rnacentral:lncRNA from 1 species
ACAUCACUGGGGCCAAGCUUCCUGCCAUCCAGGACCUCUAUACCGGGCGGUGUCAGAGGAAGGCCCUAAAUAUUGUCAAAGACUCCAGCCACCCUAUUCAUAGACUGUUUUCUCUGCUUCCGCAUGGCAAGCGGUACUGGAGCGCUAAGUCUGGGUCCAAGAGGCUUCUAAACAACUUCUACCCCCAAGCCAUAAGACUCCUGAACACCUAAUCAAUGGCUACCCAGACCAUUUGCAUUGCCCCAUCCCCCUUUUUUACACCGCUGCUACUCUCUGUUAUUUUUAUCAAUGCACAGUCACUUUCAUAACUCUACCUACAAGGUCUACAGUGAAGCUCGAAGAUGAGGGCACACCGAGCUAGAAAUGCCUGGUUCUCCAUUGAUGCGUUACUGGGAGAGAUGGUGUCGCAACUUGAUCUCAUCUAUACAGAGGAGGAGAGGAGGAGAGGAGAUCAGAGGAGGAGAGGAGAUCAGAGGAGGAGAGGAGAUCAGAGGAGGAGAGGAGGAGAGGAG